rnacentral:lncRNA from 1 species
AUGGAAAUAAAAUCUGUCAAAAUGAGAUGCAAAGCGGUAAACACAGAGAAAAUGCAGAUGCUGCUUGAAAACAGUGUCAAACCAACAGAUCCUGCCAGCUGCACUCACAGUACCAGGACAUCUUUAGCAUCAUCAUUGUCAGGAGAAAGUGUAAUAGAAGCACAGUCUUUUUCAUGUCAGCCAAAGCUGGACUCAUGUUCAACUCAAAGUGACACAAGGACAGCUGAUCUGAAACCAGUUUCCAAGGUUACACAUGAUCUAAUCUGUCCACAGAUAGCCGAGAGUGUACACCAGGAGCUUUUCUGCUGUCAACACACACACAGUCUGAAAACAAACACUUUGCUUCACAUCUCCUCUGAGGCAGAAAGCAUAGAUACAUCAUGUCCUGGAUCACACACACCCCAUAUGCAAACCCCUACCUCUAAGCUUAAUCAGGACACAUGUACCAAUGAAGCUUCCUCUUCAAGGGAAGCCAGACAGGCAGAUGCAUUCAGCUCCCUUUCUGUCCUGGCCCCCAGUGGCUGCUAUACCCAGUACCGCAUCACUGUGACAGGCUGGGAGGGCGACAAUGCAUCUUCCUGUUCUUCAACUAUCCCACCUGUGCAGACAUGCGGGGAGUCAUUUAAGGAAGGUAUAAGCCAGUUCCUGGAUCCAUCAGCACAUCAGGGCCUGGGGCACUUCUCCGAUAACCUACGACAGGUUAAUUCUUUUGAACUGGAAGAGGUGCACAGUGCAGGAGAGGAGGAUUUUGGACAAUCUGAAACUACAAGAACAUUGUUGUGCACAAAACAAUACAAAGGUGAAGUAGUCCGGGGUGACAGCAUACAGUCAGACAGCAGCGGCUAUGCAGACGAAGAAGUCAGCCCCUCAUCAGACAGACAUGGCAGAUGA